rnacentral:rRNA from 1 species
CAUAAUCAGUAGUCUUUUAAUUGAAGGCUUGUAUGAAUGGUUGGACGAAAUAUUAACUGUUUCAUUUAAAAUUUUUAUAGAAUUUUAUUUUUUAGUCAAAAAGCUAAAAUAAUAUUAAAAGACGAGAAGACCCUAUAAAUCUUGAUAUUUGCAGUAAUUUUAAUUAUAAAGAUUAAUUAAAUUAUAAUUUUUGUAAAUAUUUUAUUGGGGUGAUAAUAAAAUUUGUAAAACUUUUAAUUUAUAAAAACCAUUAAUUUAUGAAUAAUUGAUCCAUUAAUAAUGAUUAAAAAUUUAAGUUACUUUAGGGAUAACAGCGUAAUUUUUUUGGAGAGUUCAUAUUGAUAAAAAAGAUUGCGACCUCGAUGUUGGAUUAA